AGAGUAGGCGGGAAAAUAAGUUAGAAGUUUAAUAUAUAGGCUUAACCUAUAAGCUGCUUUUAAUACUGUUUUUCUUGAGUAUUGGAGAGGGAGAUGGAAUUCCAGGUGUAGCGGUGGAAUGCGUAGAUAUCUGGAAGAACACCAGUUGCGAAGGCGGUCUCCUGGCCAAAUACUGACGCUGAUGCUCGAAAGCUAGGGGAGCAAACAGGAUUAGAUACCCUGGUAGUCCUAGCCGUAAACGAUGGACACUAGAUGCUGGAGGAGUCAAUCCUUUCGGUGUCGUAGCUAACGUGUUAAGUGUCCCGCCUGGGGAGUACGCUCGCAAGGGUGAA
rnacentral:rRNA from 1 species